rnacentral:rRNA from 1 species
GACAGAGGGUGCAAACGUUGUUCGGAAUUACUGGGCGUAAAGCGCGUGUAGGUGGCAAGGCAAGUCGGGUGUGAAAGCCCUGGGCUCAACCCAGGAAGUGCACUCGAUACUGCUUCGCUAGAGUCCCGGAGAGGUUGGUGGAACUCUCGGUGUAGAGGUGAAAUUCGUAGAUAUCAGGAAGAACACCCGUGGCGAAGGCGGCUCUCUGGGACGGUACUGACGCUGAGACGCGAAAGCGUGGGGAGCGAACAGG